UUUGCAGAGGUGUCAGGUUUGCUAAUCCUGUCCCCAGUGAGCAAGAUACCUUUGCAAGGGGAUUUGAUGCAGAUGAUCAUCAUGGCUUGGAGAAACAAUGAAGGAAGCAAAGUAUGCCAUCUAUGCUGCGGGAGGUAACUCCAGAAGACCCCAGAGAGAACGAGUUUGGACUUUUAACUGAGGGCCAUUGGAAACUACUGAAGAGUUUUAGGCAGCAUAAGAACUACUAGAUUUUCAUUGUGGGAGGAUCCUCAGCAGCAGCCUCAGAAAGGAGAUUGGGGAAGGAGAUCCCUAGUCAGGGAGACCAAGAAGACUACUGGAAAAAAACAGGGGAAUCCUCAAGGACCUGCAAACAAGAAACCAAAUCCCCCCACUCCCCCCAGCCAAAAUGUGUUCAUUUUGACCAGCUGUGUGUGUGUUUUAAAUUAAAAGUUUGAAUUAGAAA
ensembl:lncRNA PANK1-AS1 PANK1 antisense RNA 1